UGGGGAAUAUUGCGCAAUGGGGGAAACCCUGACGCAGCAACGCCGCGUGAGUGAGGAAGGACUUCGGUCUGUAAAGCUCUGUUAAUGAGGAAAAAUGGUAGUUGGUCUAAUAGGCCGAUUAUUUGAUGGUACUCAUAGAGGAAGCACCGGCUAACUUCGUGCCAGCAGCCGCGGUAAUACGAAGGGUGCAAGCGUUGUUCGGAUUUAUUGGGCGUAAAGCGCGCGUAGGCGGACCUGCAAGUAAGAUGUGAAAUCUCGAGGCUCAACCUCGAAACUGCGUCUUAAACUACAGGUCUAGAAUCUUGGAGGGGGAAGGGGAAUUUCGCAUGUAGGGGUAAAAUCCGUAGAUAUGCGAAGGAACACCAGAGGCGAAGGCGCCUUCCUGGACAAGUAUUGACGCUGAGGCGCGAAAGCGUGGGGAUCAAACAGG
rnacentral:rRNA from 1 species